rnacentral:rRNA from 1 species
AUUGAACGCUGGCGGCAGGCUUAACACAUGCAAGUCGAGCGGGGUGAUGGUGCUUGCACUAUCACUUAGCGGCGGACGGGUGAGUAAUGCUUAGGAAUCUGCCUAUUAGUGGGGGACAACAUCUCGAAAGGGAUGCUAAUACCGCAUACGUCCUACGGGAGAAAGCAGGGGAUCACUUGUGACCUUGCGCUAAUAGAUGAGCCUAAGUCGGAUUAGCUAGUUAGUGGGGUAAAGGCCUACCAAGGCCACGAUCUGUAGCGGGUCUGAGAGGAUGAUCCGCCACACUGGGACUGAGACACGGCCCAGACUCCUACGGGAGGCAGCAGUGGGGAAUAUUGGACAAUGGGGGGAACCCUGAUCCAGCCAUGCCGCGUGUGUGAAGAAGGCCUUAUGGUUGUAAAGCACUUUAAGCGAGGAGGAGGCUCUUUUGGUUAAUACCCAAGAUGAGUGGACGUUACUCGCAGAAUAAGCACCGGCUAACUCUGUGCCAGCCGCCGCAGUAA